CUAUUUUAUUAAAUUUUGAUAAUGCAGAGGAAUAAAACUAUACAUAUUAUAGAAGUAUUCAUGUUUUUUUUAUGCGAGAGUUAUGUUUUGAGGCAUUUAUAUCAUUCGCUGUUUUGUUAUUUAUACACGAGCAUCUGAAAUUCCCAGCAAGUGUAUUUCACGAUUUUAAUAAGAAGUAGAUAGGGAAAAAAACAAACUUUUGCUAAAUAAAAUGUUAUAUUAACACUUUUAAUAAAAAGAAAUCAAUAAAAGUGAUUGCUUACCGUUACUCUUGAAGAAUUAAUUCCAAAAAUAGCCGUCGGUAGCGUAGACUUUUUAAAAAAACAAUUUUUCGUCUUUCGAACGGCGUUUUCCUAUCUCUUUCCUUAUUAAAUUUCAGAACGACACUUGCCAGCGCUCGCCGGAAGUGAGAAUUCCGUGUGACACAAAACAAUCAGCAAUUUCACAGGAGAUUCACAUCUGUACUUACCUCAUCUGUGGUAUAGCUCAGUGAUGCCGCCGCUUUACUUCGGUAAUGUAGCAGCUUGAAUAAGAUUGUUUUUUAUUGGUCAGAGUACUAAUUGGGUAGCGAAGGUAGCAGCUUGAAUAAGAUUGUUUUUUAUUGGUCAGAGUACUAAUUGGGUAGCGAAGGUAGCAAACCAAUAGGAAGCCAGAGACUGUCAACAUUUACCUUUGAACUUCCGGUUUAUUUGUAAGAUGAACAAGCAACUGGCCAAGAAAUUGAGCAAAAAUAUAGCUGAGAAUACCCGAGUCUUUGUUUCUAAACUUGAAUGUAUUAAUAAAUCGUUCUGUGUAUGCAAUGUAAGUAUCAUUUAAUAAUGAGUAGCGUAAAGAUGUAAACGCACUUUUUGCGGCUUAUUACAGUAAAAGCAAGUAUUGUAUUGUUUGUCACGUUGUUAAAUUCGCUAAACUUCUGUGUGAAUGUGAUAGACUACCUGGCGUUCCCUCGAAACGUCGAAGUUUUGUCUAUUUAUUUUCAGGUAGGCUGUCACAUUCACACCAAGAUUUACGCAGAUGUUUUAUCGAAGAUUCUACCAGCGGUCAAGCGGCAAGCGUUCGAGAUAAAUUCGCUAAUAUUGCAUAAAAACACGAUGUAGUUAUAUUAUAUCUAUUUCACUUUAUAGAAUGUUUAUCUACAGCUGCACCCAAGACGAAAUACAUUAAUCCGUGUUCGUGUUGUCAGCAAGUAGUUGGAUAGUUUUUUCCACCGGCACAUAAUUUCGUGAACAAAGACGAGACAUAGGACUAUUUUAAAAACGAUGACAACAUUAUGUUGACAACAACAUACUGUACAGUAUUUAAUAAUGUUGUCUUUUUAUAAAUUAUAGUUGUACAUUUGCCUUUUUAUGUCAAUUACAGUAAACUUAUUUCAAUUUAAUAUCGUGUGAUUUCACCACAUGCUUGAAUCAGGUUGUUUUACAUUAUAUGAUUAUACUUUGUCAGUUUAUAUAAUUUUUAAACCGAAAUCCUCACAUGUAUGAUGUAUCCUCCUGACCACACAACUCACAAGUUAAACAUGUGUUAAUCAGAUACACAUGACACCAUUAGGUAGCCUUAUGGAGAUACCUAAUAGGAUAUGGAAACACAGCUAGUAGCUAUUGCAAAACUAAAAGGUAUAAAUUGUGAUGAACAAAAAGAAAAUAUAUAUGUUUUUUAUAGACAUAGGGAUGCCAGAGAGAGGGGCAAAUCUGGGAGCGAUUGCAGAAUACCGGUCCACUUUUGAUAGGUUGUUAAACCGAAUAAAUGAAUUAAAAGAUUAUUUCAAAACAGUUCACAAUUAAAAUUUAAAGAUAAAACUACAAGAAUAUGUUGCUUGUAGUUAAAUUCAAUGCCGGAGUCUUUAAAGAACGAAGCAUUUAAAAUUGACAUUCUUUUCUGAUUUCGCCAUGUUUACAAGGAAUUAAUAGGUGUAAUAUGUCAAAGUGGACGGGUAUUCUGCAAUCUAACCCAAAUCUGCUCUUUUCUAAGGGGGCUGAAGUGCCCUUUUAAUGUAACGUGUGCAUAUGCUAAAACCUCCAAAUACAAGAGACUUCAACAGUAAAUCUGAUUGAUUAUUUUAUGUUGAGACUUUAUAUUGCUUUAAUAAGCAUCAACCACAGAUGUGCCUCAAAGGGAAAUUACAGUAGGCCCCUUGUCAUUUAUUAAUAGGGUCUCAUGUCCUUUGUGUAGAAAAGUUGCAAUUAAAUGAGCAGAAAUUUGAAUUACAACAAAUUUAAAGGCUAAAUAUGCUUUCAAUAUAAUAUGACCAAUUGCCCUUACAUUUGCCGACUGUCCCUUGCCAUUUGCCGACUUCCUUUUGCCCUACCACUGCUCCAACAUCCCAUAAAUAUGAAUUAAAUAUCUAAAGGAUUGGUUCAAGGUAAUACACCUAACAACUAGUGAUGAACCUGAAUAUGCAUAUGCACCCACAAUUAUCAUUUUACUGCAGUCUAACACAAAACAUCCUUACUUAUCAGGAGUAAUAAUAUUAGUUAAUGGGUAAUAGAACUAUCUGCCAGUGUCUUGUUAAAACCAUUAAUUAUUUAAUCG